UACAGGGGGGGCAAGCGUUGUUCGGAAUUACUGGGCGUAAAGGGCCAGUAGGCGGCCAACUAAGUCCGACGUGAAAUCCCCAGGCUUAACCUGGGAACUGCGUCGGAUACUGGAUGGCUUGAAUUCGGGAGAGGGAUGCAGAAUUCCAGGUGUAGCGGUGAAAUGCGUAGAUAUCUGGAGGAACACCGGUGGCGAAGGCGGCAUCCUGGACCAACACUGACACUGAGGAGCGAAAGCCAGGGGAGCAAACGGG
rnacentral:rRNA from 1 species